rnacentral:rRNA from 1 species
UAGGGAAUCUUCCACAAUGGGCGAAAGCCUGAUGGAGCAACGCCGCGUGGGUGAAGAAGGUCUUCGGAUCGUAAAACCCUGUUGUUAGAGAAGAAAGUGCGUGAGAGUAACUGUUCACGUUUCGACGGUAUCUAACCAGAAAGCCACGGCUAACUACGUGCCAGCAGCCGCGGUAAUACGUAGUUGGCAAGCGUUAUCCGGAUUUAUUGGGCGUAAAGGGAACGCAGGCGGUCUGUUAAGUCGGAUGUGAAAGCCUUCGGCUUAACCGGAGUAGUGCAUUGGAAAAUGGGAGACUUGAGUGCAGAAGAGGAGAGUGGAACUCCAUGUGUAGCGGUGAAAUGCGUAGAUAUAUGGAGGAGCACCAGUGGCGAAAGCGGCUCUCUGGUCUGUAACUGACGCUGAGGUUCGAAAGCGUGGGUAGCAAACAGG